CAAGUAGGACAAAUAAUCGCGGCUGUUAUAGAUGACUUCCGCUUUGCGGAACAUCAUUAACAGGUGAGGAAAGUCCGGGCUUCACAGGGCAGGAUGCCGGAUAACGUCCGGUGGAGGCGACUCCAAGGCCAGUGCAACAGAAAUAAACCGCCACAACAAGUCAAGCUCGGCUAAUGCCGAGUCUUGUGGUAAGGGUGGAAAGGCAGCUUAAGAGACUACCGCCUGCACGGUAACGGGCAGGGCACAUGUAAACCCCAUCCGAAGCAAGACCAAACAGAAAGCGUUAAAACCGGCCCGGUGAGCUUUCAGGUGGGUCGCUGGAUGCUGCCGGUAACGGCAGUACUAGAUAGAUGAUUAUUCACGACAUAACCCGGCUUAUCGUUCUGCUUGAUUC
rnacentral:RNase_P_RNA from 1 species